rnacentral:rRNA from 1 species
CCGUUGCUUCGGCGGGCGGCCCGGGUCCGCCCGGUGCCCCCUGGCCCCCUAGCGGGGCGCCCGCCGGAGGAAAACCCAACUCUUGAUUAUUAUGGCCUCUCUGAGUCUUCUGUACUGAAUAAGUCAAAACUUUCAACAACGGAUCUCUUGGUUCUGGCAUCGAUGAAGAACGCAGCGAAAUGCGAUAAGUAAUGUGAAUUGCAGAAUUCAGUGAAUCAUCGAAUCUUUGAACGCACAUUGCGCCCGCCAGUAUUCUGGCGGGCAUGCCUGUUCGAGCGUCAUUUCAACCAUCAAGCCCCAGGCUUGUGUUGGGGACCUGCGGCUGCCGCAGGCCCUGAAAACCAGUGGCGGGCUCGCUGUCACACCGGGCGUAGUAGAUUUUAUCUCGCUCUGGGCGUGCUGCGGGUUCCGGCCGUUAAAAAACCCUUUUAACCCAAGGUUGACCUCGGAUCAGGUAGGAAUACCCGCUGAACUUAAGCAUAUCAAUAAGACGGAGGAA